GGGCCUGUGGUCUAGCGGCUAUGACAUCACUUUUACACAGUGGAGGUCCCCGGUUCGAAUCCGGGCAGGCCCA
rnacentral:tRNA from 1 species